GACGAACGCUGGCGGCGUGCUUAACACAUGCAAGUCGAACGGAAAGGCCCUGCUUUUGUGGGGUGCUCGAGUGGCGAACGGGUGAGUAACGCGUGAGUAACCUGCCCUUGACUUUGGGAUAACUUCAGGAAACUGGGGCUAAUACCGGAUAGGAGCUCCUGCUGCAUGGUGGGGGUUGGAAAGUUUCGGCGGUUGGGGAUGGACUCGCGGCUUAUCAGCUUGUUGGUGGGGUAGUGGCUUACCAAGGCUUUGACGGGUAGCCGGCCUGAGAGGGUGACCGGCCACAUUGGGACUGAGAUACGGCCCAGACUCUUACGGGAGGCAGCAGUGGGGAAUAUUGCACAAUGGGCGGAAGCCUGAUGCAGCAACGCCGCGUGCGGGAUGACGGCCUUCGGGUUGUAAACCGCUUUCGCCUGUGACGAAGCGUGAGUGACGGUAAUGGGUAAAGAAGCACCGGCUAACUACGUG
rnacentral:rRNA from 1 species